CGAGUAGGACUACCCGCUGAACUUAAGCAUAUCAAUAAGCGGAGGAAAAGAAACUAACAAGGAUUCCCCUAGUAACGGCGAGUGAAGAGGGAAGAGCUCAAAUUUUGAAUCUGGCGUCUUUGGCGUCCGAGUUGUAAUCUAGAGAAGUGUUUUCCGUGGCGGACCGUGCAUAC
rnacentral:rRNA from 1 species